GAUACCAAGGGACUAAGAAAUAGUCAUGAGAAGCUAAAAAAUGCUAUAAAUGAGGUGCAAAAUAAAAUGGAGGCAUCUACAGUGCAGAUUGAAGAGGCAAAAGAGACAACAGGUGAAUUAGAAGAUAAAAUUAUG